CCUACGGACGGCUGCAGUGAGGAAUAUUGGUCAAUGGGCGGAAGCCUGAACCAGCCAAGUAGCGUGCAGGAUGACGGCCCUACGGGUUGUAAACUGCUUUUAUACGGGAAUAACGCGCCUUACGUGUAGGGCUUUGCAUGUACCGUAUGAAUAAGGACCGGCUAAUUCCGUGCCAGCAGCCGCGGUAAUACGGAAGGUCCGGGCGUUAUCCGGAUUUAUUGGGGUUAAAGGGAGCGUAGGCCGCAUGUCAAGCGUGCUGUGAAAUGUCCGGGCUCAACCCGGGCCGUGCAGCGCGAACUGGCGUGCUUGAGUCCGCGGAAAGCAGGCGGAAUUCGUCGUGUAGCGGUGAAAUGCUUAGAUAUGACGAAUAACCCCGAUUGCGAAGGCAGCUUGCUGCAGCGGAACUGACGCUGAUGCUCGAAAGCGCGGGUAUCGAACAGGAUUAGAUACCCCUGUAGUC
rnacentral:rRNA from 1 species